GCGUAGUGCAACAGGUCAGCACGCGCCCCUGGAUAGGGUGAAAUGUGGGUUCGAAUCCCACCUGAUGCA